rnacentral:rRNA from 1 species
UACAGAGGGUGCAAGCGUUGUUCGGAAUUACUGGGCGUAAAGCGCACGUAGGCGGGUUGUUAAGUCGGGGGUGAAAUCCUGGAGCUCAACUCCAGAACUGCCUUCGAUACUGGCGACCUUGAGUCCGGGAGAGGUGAGUGGAACUCCGAGUGUAGAGGUGAAAUUCGUAGAUAUUCGGAAGAACACCAGUGGCGAAGGCGGCUCACUGGCCCGGUACUGACGCUGAGGUGCGAAAGCGUGGGGAGCAAACAGG